rnacentral:lncRNA from 1 species
CCAACGACCAAAGCAAAGGACAGCAGAACUGACUGACACAGCUCAGAAAAUAUCCAAAGCUCUGUAUGCUCUGGAAAGGAAGACAAGAAAUGCUAAAGACUCUGGAUAUUGCUCUGUUUCUAUAAGGUCCCACCCAUAUACCAUCUCUUCUUUUGGAUUUCCUUUGGCAGGGUUCCCUUGUAUGGAAGUUCUCAGGAGAACAACACUCUCAGAGUCCCACUGUCUCAAAGAAUUCUUAAUGGACAGCUAUACUUGGCCCCAAGGUUUCAACCUCACACUGAAGAAAGUGACAUAAGAAAACACAAGUCCCAGUGCUAUCAGGGGCUAUCUGGAAAAGCUGCUUAAACAGCAAGUGAAAGAAGGCUCUCCCCUACCCCGUUCUAGAUGGAGUCUCGCUCUGUCACCCAGGCUGGAGUGCAAUGGCACGAUCUCAGCUCACUGCAACCUCCGCCUCCCAGGUUGAAGCGAUUCUCCUGCCUCAGCCUCCUGAGUAGCUGGGAUUACAGACUCACCCUGAAGUUAUUUGAAGGAUCCUUGAGACUCUUUUGGAUUGCUGCUUGGAGAACAUUCCUGUAACUUGUCCCUGCUCCUUGAACUAUAAAAGCAGAAGGGAGGUACUGAGUUAAAACUUACAAAUUAUUAUCAAAUAAAUCUUCAAUAGUGGUUCAGU